GAUGAACGCUGGCGGCGUGCCUAAUACAUGCCAGUCGAGCGAACAGACGAGGAGCUUGCUCCUCUGACGUUAGCGGCGGACGGGUGAGUAACACGUGGAUAACCUACCUAUAAGACUGGGAUAACUUCGGGAAACCGGAGCUAAUACCGGAUAAUAUAUUGAACCGCAUGGUUCAAUAGUGAAAGACGGUUUUGCUGUCACUUAUAGAUGGAUCCGCGCCGCAUUAGCUAGUUGGUAAGGUAACGGCUUACCAAGGCGACGAUGCGUAGCCGACCUGAGAGGGUGAUCGGCCACACUGGACCUGAAAAACGUCCAGACUCCUACGGGAGGCAGCAGUAGGGAAUCUUCCGCAAUGGGCGAAAGCCUGACGGAGCAACGCCGCGUGAGUGAUGAAGGUCUUCGGAUCGUAAAACUCUGUUAUUAGGGAAGAACAAAUGUGUAAGUAACUAUGCACGUCUUGACGGUACCUAAUCAGAAAGCCACGGCUAACUACGUG
rnacentral:rRNA from 1 species